GAACGCCAUACCUGCUGGCCACCAUCUUACUGGCAAUCAUACACAGAGACAGGAAGAGAGCAGCUCGGACACUUGCAGAGAGAAGAAGCAGCAAUGAUGUCAUCAUGGAAACCCCGGCAUAGCCUGGAAACAAGUGGCCAAGAAAUUCUGCUCCACACGAGAACCUUGGUGGGAGAGUCAGUCCCGAUCAGUUGAUGUUUAUCUGCAGGGAUGUGUGAGUGAGGGGUCCGCACAGAUUGUGGGUCGGCGGUGGUGAGAUCCAAUUAAAAGUAGGUGAGUGUCAUUUCUCAGAAGCUAAGAGAGGAUGUUGUGGGAUUUGAAAUCCCACAAACAGGCCGACAGUCAAAAUAAAACCACAUUGAAUUUGAACAGAAGUAAAACGUGUGACCGCACUGGAAACAGGAGCAGCUCUGUGGCUCCACUGACCUAGAUGUUGUGUUUUGUAUCGUGGUUGGAAACCGACUGAAGUCUCUGUUCUAUAACUGAAAUAAACCAAAGUGAACUGAG